CGGCGCAGUCAUUGGCCUCUGGAUUUCGGAAGUUUAGGAGCUCCACUGGCUGCUAGGCUGCUAGCCCAUUUUUAGGGCUUGGUGUACUUCCGUAAUGUCUGCGCUAGGCAGGUAAAAGGGGGAGUGUGGGGAAUAGGCGGCUCUGAGGAGACCUUUGAAACCGGAAAGAAUCGGACGACAACCAAGCCAGUGCCGAAUCUACAUGUGGCCAAACAUUGCGGAGGUGAUUUCGGAGGACCUCGGUCUAACAAAAUCGCUUGUGAUUGGCACAAUGGAAGAAUCUAGAAUUUGCAGACCAGGUGUAAAAGCAGAUAUGUUGUGUAACUCUCAGUCAAAUGAUAUUCUUCAACAUCAUGACUCAAAUUGUGGUGGCACGGGUAACAAACAUUCACUGGAAGAGGAUGAAGGCAGUGACUUUAUAACAAAAAACAGGAAUUUGGUGAGCCGAGCAUACUGCAUGCAAGAGUCAAGAGAGAAACCUCCUGGGCCUAAAUCUGGAACAGAGUCUUCUGAUAGUCAGCAGGGUUCAGAGUGCAACAGGAAUAAAGAAAGACCUUUAGGAAAAGAAGUAUUAUUAUUGAUGCAAGCCUUAAAUACUCUCUCAACUCCAGAGGAGAAGCUGGCAGCUCUCUGUAAGAAAUAUGCUGAUCUUGUGAGUAUAAGGGAGCAAGGCCCAUGUAAAAUAUGUCAAAAUGCACA